UGUAACAGAGUUAGAAUUACCAGAUAAUAUAAUUAAUGAGUUUCACCAAAAUUGCUCUACUAUUAUAAAAAUGGGUAAAAAAGUCUAAAAAGUUCAUUUUUUUGUGAAAGUUUAUAUUUUUGUAAAAAAGGUUAAAUAUAUUUUUGGGAGCUUUUCAUUUCUUGCUUUGACGUCCCUGCAGGCUGUGUCCCUCUGCUGCUGCCGUACCUCCAUCAGACGAGUGAGAGCUCUGAGAUGGAUGGUUCGUAGCUGCUGCAGUUUCUCUCUAAAUUAUAUAUUUUCUAAUCUUUAUCUAGUUAAAAACUUUAAAAACACUGUUCUAUAACUUUAUAAAAAUAUCUAGUGCUCUAUUUAUUAUUAAGUUUUGAUAAGAAAUGUUAACUUUAUCGAGUUUAGUCUAGACAUGUGCUCCGCACGUGCGGGCCGCAUUAUAUAACUCAUGUCUCUAAAGUAAAAUGUGAAUUAAGCUAAUCCCUUUUUAUCUUAUUUUACUUUCUACAACCUCAGUGUGCUAUACCUGCAGCCGUUCAUUGCAAGACGUGAAGGAUUAUUUGAUUUAAUCUGUUUCAGGUAUGUUGCUCCCUAGACUUUCCCUCCAAAGAUGUUCUUUAAAUAUUUCUAAAUAUGUUAUUAAUUAAUUAAUUUUUCUAAUGCUGUUGUGCUAUAAGAUAAAAAAAAUGCUUUCCUCUGUAAAUUUUUGAAUAUGUUUUUAUGAGAAAAACAAGCUAUACGAUCACGUACAUGUUAUGUUAAAAUACUGUUUUAAAAAGAGAACACUCAGACGAGUGAGAGCUCUGAGAUGGAUGUGUGCUAUACCUGCAGCCGUUCAUUGCAAGACGUGAAGGAUUAUUUGAUUUAAUCUGUUUCAGAAUAAACAGAGUGGAAAGCAGCACUGGUCUGAGACUCAUUUACUGACCAAACAGUGGUCGUUACAGUGGUGCCGUCGACUCCGUGAUUCCUGGUCAGCUUGAUGCAGAUCGCCGUGGGUGUGCUGCGGAAUUCAGCGCAGGAGUGUUGUUGUGCUGCGGAGACUCAGCGAGGGAGUGCUGCGGAGAUUCAGCGCGAAAGUGCUGUUGUGCUGCGAAGAUUCAGCGCGGGAGUGCUGCGGAGAUUCAGCGCGGCUGUGCUACCGAAUUCAGCACGAAAGUGCUGUUGUGCUGCGGAGACUCUGCGCGGGUGUGCUGCCGAAAUCAGCGCGGGUGUGCUGGUGUGUUUCCGAAACUCCUUCAGCGCGCGGACAGUGAGAUCGCACCCUUUCAGCGCUGCGGAGCUCUUUGCAAUGCUUUUAAAGCAUUAGUCAGGCUGUGUCCCUCUGCUGCUGCCGUACCUCCAUCAGACGAGUGAGAGCUCUGAGAUGGAUGGUUCGUAGCUGCUGCAGUUUCUCUCUAAAUUAUAUAUUUUCUAAUCUUUAUCUAGUUAAAAACUUUAAAAACACUGUUCUAUAACUUUAUAAAAAUAUCUAGUGCUCUAUUUAUUAUUAAGUUUUGAUAAGAAAUGUUAACUUUAUCGAGUUUAGUCUAGACAUGUGCUCCGCACGUGCGGGCCGCAUUAUAUAACUCAUGUCUCUAAAGUAAAAUGUGAAUUAAGCUAAUCCCUUUUUAUCUUAUUUUACUUUCUACAACCUCAGUGUGCUAUACCUGCAGCCGUUCAUUGCAAGACGUGAAGGAUUAUUUGAUUUAAUCUGUUUCAGGUAUGUUGCUCCCUAGACUUUCCCUCCAAAGAUGUUCUUUAAAUAUUUCUAAAUAUGUUAUUAAUUAAUUAAUUUUUCUAAUGCUGUUGUGCUAUAAGAUAAAAAAAAUGCUUUCCUCUGUAAAUUUUUGAAUAUGUUUUUAUGAGAAAAACAAGCUAUACGAUCACGUACAUGUUAUGUUAAAAUACUGUUUUAAAAAGAGAACACUCAGACGAGUGAGAGCUCUGAGAUGGAUGUGUGCUAUACCUGCAGCCGUUCAUUGCAAGACGUGAAGGAUUAUUUGAUUUAAUCUGUUUCAGAAUAAACAGAGUGGAAAGCA